rnacentral:lncRNA from 1 species
CUCCCCACAUGAAGUACAAAACAGGGAGAGCCAGGAAGGAGGAGGUCGCACGAGCUCUAGCAUGGCCAUCCACCGGAGCAAGGGGGCGCCCUAAUGCUGUAUAUUCUUGCCUUGGACCUCAGGAGCACUGACUAAGGGGAGAAACUGUUAUUCCCUCCUGGGAAUGACAUCUAAGUCCUUCCUCUUUAAGGAAAACAUGUGGAACUAAGUAGUUAAGUGCCAUCUACCAAAAGCCAAGGGUGUGUAGGCAGAUGAGCAGAAGGAGGGAGCAUUUCUCAUGGAGGGAAGUGCACAAGCAAAGAUCCUGGGGCCUCAAAUAACAAGGAAACUUUGUAGAAGAAAUUGGGGGGAUGCAUGCAACUUUUCCCUUGCUUCUGAAAUGAUAACUCUGCAUUCGUUCUCAACCACCAUUAAUCAUGCAUAGCUGUGCUCACUGAGGCAAUGUUUUUGAGAGCCGAUGGAUGAACAAGAUCUUAUUAGCACUGGUUUCCGUGGUUUAUCGCUCAUGGCCAAUGUCACACAGAAUUUUCAGCCAGGAGGGGAACGCCCAGCAGCUGGAUGUCCAGCUGCCAAUUCAUCAGUUUGAGAACCUGUACCCGAGACCUGGGUGACAACUGUAACCACGUGGAGCCACACCCACCCUUUUCAGCACUGAACUGAGCUGCCUGCAGCCCCACCCACCCCAAGUGUAAUCUCUGUCUUCCCCACUAGCUUCCCGCUGGAUCCCCACCAGCAUCUACUCUUCCCUUGCUGGUUUUUUAACUUUGCUGCGACCACCGCUGCUUCUCUGGGCAGAGACCCCCUCAAGCACUCCAAGC